rnacentral:rRNA from 1 species
CCUCAAAUCAGGUAGGACUACCCGCUGAACUUAAGCAUAUCAAUAAGCGGAGGAAAAGAAACUAACAAGGAUUCCCCUAGUAACUGCGAGUGAAGAGGGAAAAGCUCAAAUUUAAAAUCUGGUACCCUUAGGGUGCUCGAGUUGUAAUUUGGAGAGGCGUUUUCUGUGCUGGACUGUGUAAAAGUUUCUUGGAAUAGAACAUCAUAGAGGGUGAGAAUCCCGUCUUUGACACAGACUACCAGUGCUAUGUGAUACGCUUUCAAAGAGUCGCGUUGUUUGGGAAUGCAGCGCUAAAUGGGUGGUAAAUUCCAUCUAAAGCUAAAUAUUGGCGAGAGACCGAUAGCGAACAAGUACCGUGAGGGAAAGAUGAAAAGCACUUUGGAAAGAGAGUUAAACAGUACGUGAAAUUGUUGAAAGGGAAACGCUUGAAGUCAGUCGCAUUGCUUUGGAUUCAGCCUUGCUCUUUUGCUUGGUGUAUUUCCUUUGUAAUGGGUCAGCAUCAAUUUUGUUCAGUGGAAAAAGGACAGGGGAAGGUGGCACCUCCGGGUGUGUUAUAGCCCCUGUUUGUAUACAUUGAAUGGGAUUGAGGUCUGCAGCACGCCUUUAUGGUCGGGGUUCGCCCACGUAAGUGCUUAGGAUGCUGGC